rnacentral:rRNA from 1 species
GACGAACGCUGGCGGCGUGCUUAACACAUGCAAGUCGAACGGUAAGGCCCUUCGGGGUACACGAGUGGCGAACGGGUGAGUACACGUGGGUGAUCUGCCCUGCACUUCGGGAUAAGCCUGGGAAACUGGGUCUAAUACCGGAUAGGACCACUGCCUGCAUGGGUGGUGGUGGAAAGCUUUUGCGGUGUGGAAUGGGCCGGCGGCCUUUCAGCUUGUUGGUGGGGGGAUGGCCGACCAAGGCGACGACGGGUAGCCGGCCUGAGAGGGUGACCGGCCAAACUGGGACUGAGAUACGGCCCAGACUCCUACGGGAGGCAGCAGUGGGGAAUAUUGCACAAUGGGCGCAAGCCUGAUGCAGCGACGCCGCGUGAGGGAUGACGGCCUUCGGGUUGUAAACCUCUUUCAGCACCGACGAAGCGCAAGUGACGGUAGGUGCAGAAGAAGGACCGGCCAACUACGUGCCAGCCGCCGCCGUAA